AUAUAAAAUAGACUUUUAUUCAGGCAUAAAGAAAAAUGAAAUUAUGUCAUUUGCAGGAAAAUGGAUGAAACAUGAGAACAUUAUAUUAAGCAAAAUAAGCCAAGUAUAGAAAAACAAGGGACAUCUGUUUUAUGUUUUAUGUUGAAGCUACAGAGAAAAAAAAAAGAUGAUGUGGAUCUCAUGAACAUGGAAGCAUGGUGAUUUUCAGAAGAAUUCACUGAGUUAAGGAGGGGAUGCGAGCUUCUGGAUGAAAACUUGGACGGUAUGGACUCCUCACUGUGCCUUUGCUAUUGCCAUGUCUGCAAGGCCUUCUCUUGCACUCUCUGAGGGCAGAGGAUGCUGCAGAUUUCAGUUGGUGAUGACUGAGCUGCUUCAGAUAGGAAAAACUCUGAGGCUCUCCUGGAAUGAGUGAGGAGCUAUCCUGACUACAGACUGAACCUCUUGCCCCUGAGGAUCCCCAGCAGUAGCACAAGGAAACUGUCUUGGCAAUGGGAGAAUUGAAAUACCAGUGGAGUGGCUAUGGAGUCGGAGAGCAGCACUUAGGGGGUGUCCUCUCUGGUUGGCCCACAUGGUUUUUGGUCCUUUGCCAGGUGAUGAAAAGUCAAAGAACAAGUUCAUGUGAGAGAAGAAAAGUAGUGUAUUUGAAACCUACAUGUCCAAGGAGGCAGUUUCAGAAGGCUUAAAGAGAGCAUUACUUAUCCAGGUGCAGUAUUGGGAAGUUGUUAUAGAAGAUGUUGGGAGAGAUGAGAACCUGAUAGCCAUGUUCAGAAGGGGCUUCAGUUUGGGGCAAUGACCAAGGAGAAGUGAGGAGGAAGAUUGUAGAAUUGGCUGUUUGAGAUCCCAGAAGCACCAUGUCAGAGUUCCUCCUGCAGUAGAAUAUUGGUAUGAAUUAUUAUUUAUAAUAAUAAUUAUUAUUAUAAGAAAUCCAAAUCUAGGAAGACACAGUUCAGGAUGGAGUAGUUUCUAGGACCCUUUAUUAAGCAUGAAGUCAGCUGGAAAAUAUGUGGGUGAACAUAAAGGAUGAGAAGAAUAAAGGUGACAUUACAGUGCAAUGCCCAGUCAUUCAGAAGGGAGAGGUGGCACUUAUAGCAUUAAUAGCAGGGGCAAUAGUAGAAGGUCAGCUCUAUAGAUAGUAAUUAAUUAGCUCAAGAAAUGUUUCCUGACAACUUAGUAAACACACAUAUACCAGUGAGCAGGAUAGGGGUAGUAGGCAGAAAUAACUAUAGUAAUGCAAAAAAAAAAUAUAUAUAUAUAUUUUUUUUGAUCCAAAGGGUAAGAAGGAUUCCUCCAUUUUAAGCUUUUGGAGAGGAAUAUAGGCAGAGAUCAGCAAGUGGAAAUAGGGUUUAUGUUUUGAGGAACAAGAAGGAAGGCUGUUGGAACAGAACUGAACAGAGGGAAUUACUACAUGGGAGUAGUGGAAGAGUUAGCAUCCAAGUCAUGGAGGGUCUCUAGGAGUUGAAUUUUAUUCAAAAAACAAUGGGAAGUCAUUGAAGGGUAUUAAGGAGGAAUAACAUGAUCUGUUUCAUGUCUUAAAAACAUCUCCCUGCCUAUUGGGAGAUGAAUAGACUAGUGUACCACUUAGGAAGCCAUUAAAGUAAACUAGGCAAGAACAUUCAGAGACUUAAACAAGGGCAGUGGCAGUGAAAAGGGAGGUAAAUAGGUGGAUGUGGAGUGAUUGCUGACAAGACCUUCUGACAGAUUAAAUGUGGAAAGUGAGGUAAAGGGAGGAAGCCAGGCUGGCUCAAUGGAUGAUGCAGUCAUGAACCAAGACAGGGAAGAUGGAGGAUUAGAACAUGGUGCUCACCUGUGGGGAGGCAAGGAGGGCAGAUGGAUAAAUGAGUGAAGAGGCCCUGGUGUGCACUGUAGCAAGCACAUAGGCCUUGCAGUGGUUGAGUGCUGGGACUCUAGCCAGGCCACUUGGGCUUGAAUGUAAUGUGACAGUGGCAGAUUACUGACCCUCUCAGUGCUUUAGUUCCCUCCAUGCAAAAAAAGAACAUCAUAGUCUCUACUUCUUAGUUGUGAGGGUUAAAUUAGUUCCUAGUGAUAAAACUGCCAAAUCAGUAUGUGGCUCGGAGGACACCUAUGGAAGUGGUACUUGAGAUUGCUUUUAUUGUUGUCAGAGGAGCAUCUGUUACUCAGCUCAGGUGGUUGUUGCCAUGUGGAGAUAGCUGUACACAAACUGCUUGUAGAUUUUAAUAGUUUUUUAAGAUAAUCUGCAAUACAUAUUUUUAUGUAUGAAAUUCUUCAGCAUGUUCUCAAACUUCCCAUAAGUCAGAUAAAACAUGUUUGUGAUUGCCAAGUUAGACAAAUGGACCCAGUUAUGUGGUAUAGUACCAUUUGGUUCCUCAGGCAGGCAGGGAUGAGGAGGACAAGCUGGAGUCAGUUGAGGGAGGGCCUUCCUUGUUAAGUGUAAUAGGAAGAGUGUACUCAAAGCUCAGGGUUUGUGAGGGUAAGAAAUGAUGGCAGGUAAUGACAGCUAGUCAGUGAAAAAAGGAAUUAACCAUCAUGGGAAGAUAGCAAAUAAUAAAAAUUUGGCCAGACUAUCGCUUGGCGGUUUUAGUGAAACUGAAGGAUUGUUGAAGUGGAGUUUCUACAGUGAGUGAGUUGGAAGGAUAGAAGAUUGUAAUCAGAAAGAGUGAUGUUUGGCUUGUAUUUGGAAGUAGGGUUAUUAGUGACGAUGACAGAAUACAAAUGGUGUACAUGGGAGAAUGGCUGGGGUGGGUGGAGAAGGUACCUGGGAUGAUGGACUUGGGUUGCUCAGUCAUUGAUGUGCACGUGAAGGCCCCCCGAAAUAUAUAUGAGUGGGGAUAGAGGGGUAGGCAGUGAGCUACCAUCAACACACUAGUGAAUUGGGGCUGUGGCUAGAAAGUUUGAAGAGGCAACAGUAAAGAAAUGUACCAAAGAAAUGACAUGAACUUCAAAGGACCUGGAGUUUUAUCAAAGUGAAUGGAGUGAAAAAUAAAUUUAAAGCCAUGUUAUGGAAGUAAGGAGGAGACAGUCUUCUCCUGGUCCCUGAGAGCACUCAAGGAAAGUGGUGACAUCAGGGGACAGCUAAGUUUGAAGUCAGUAUGGAGUUGCAGGAGCAUUAAGAGCAAAGAUGGAAGAUAUAGUAUCCUUACUGGUUAAAUUUCAGUACUAGAGGAGGGUUUAGGAGACAGAUGAGAGAUGGAGGACUGGGUGAGUUUAGGAAUGGUUAGAGAAACAGGAGAAUAAGUCUUACACUUCUCCAGUUAAAACAGAGAUUGCACUGGAUAUGUCUUCUAGGCAGAUUUUUAAAAAUUAUUAUUUUUAGAGUUACACAACACUAGAGUGUAUUUUGACAUGUUAUAUAUUCAUGGAGUACAACUUAUUCUAAUUAGGAUCUCAUUCUUUUACAUGUAUAUGAUGGGGAAUUUCACUGGUGAUUAUGAACAUAGGAAAGUUAUGUCUGAUUCAUUGUACUCUCUUUUCUGUUCCCAUCCACCCUUUCUUCCCAUUAUUCUGACGUAAAGUUUUUGACAGAUUGUGCUACUAGCUUCUCUGCAGGCUGUAGGAACCACCUUGAUCUGAUAUUGGAUCCUGUUGGAACUUUCUCUUUAUUAUUGUGAUCUGAACUCUUAGGGGUUCUGUUUUUAAGGUACAGUUCUUAAUAUUUUUGCUUCAAUAAAAUUUACAAAUGUUAUUUUUAACACAA